ACGGGAGUCUCAUAGCAGCGGCACAUCGUCAGUCCGAAGGGAAACUAAAACCGAAACAUGUCCCGGUGGGACGUACAGUCGGCGGCCGUUACCGAGCAGCACACGGUCACCGACAUGGCGACGGGCAGUCCCUGCAUCGUGAUCGGAGACGAAGAGCGGGGCUACGACCUGGACCUCUUCUGCAUCCCCAAGCACUAUGCCAGCGACCUAGAGCGUGUCUAUAUCCCACACGGCCUCAUCCUGGACAGGACUGAGCGCCUGGCACGGGACAUCAUGCGUGACAUGGGGGAGCACCACAUCGUGGCUCUUUGUGUCCUGAAGGGGGGCUACAAGUUCUUUGCCGACUUGCUGGACUACAUCAAGGCCCUGAACCGCAACAGCGACCGCUCUAUCCCCAUGACGGUGGACUUCAUCCGGCUCAAGAGCUACUGCAAUGACCAAUCAACAGGGGAAAUCAAGGUCAUCGGUGGGGACGACCUGUCCACACUCACAGGAAAGAACGUCUUGAUAGUGGAGGACAUCAUCGAUACAGGAAAGACCAUGAAAACCCUGUUGCAGCUCCUCAAACAGUACAAUCCGAAAAUGGUCAAAGUGGUCAGCCUGUUGGUGAAGCGGACAGAGAGGAGCGUGGGCUACCGGCCGGACUGUGAGUACGCGGCACGCCAGACAGCCCUCUGGAGGGACCGUUAUAGGAUUUGAGGUACCCGACAUAUUUGUGGUGGGGUAUGCGUUAGACUACAAUGAGUACUUCAGAGAUUUAAAUCACAUCUGUGUCAUCAGCGAGAAGGGGAAGGAGAAGUACAAGGAGUGAAGCCGUCCUCUUCAGUGGCAUCUCCACCAAACGCCAUCAUUCACAGUUUGCUUUAAUAGAAAAUAAAUUAAACGCCUAAGUAGGACGAUAGCAGGUUCCGCAGAGUACCGGGCAACACACUCACACCGCGACCUGACGGCUGAACUGAAAAUGGCCUGUUUUGUACUUUCCACCCCAUGGCCACCAAAGCCUGGAAUCACCUUGGAGAUGGCAGGAGGCCAGGGGGAGGGGGGGUCUCCUCGUGUAAUAAGCAGGACAGCAGUGCUCCAUGUCUAUCACUGUCACUGGAGUAGAUGGCCCAUGCAGAUGAAUAUGAAUGCAGUAAAUCACAAUGUAAAUCAGUGCCUGAGCCAUGUGAUCAGACACUGAGAUACUGCAAACUUUGCUGUGUAUUUU